rnacentral:rRNA from 2 species
ACGUAGGGGGCAAGCGUUAUCCGGAUUUACUGGGUGUAAAGGGAGCGUAGGCGGCGGAGCAAGUCAGAAGUGAAAGCCCGGGGCUCAACCCCGGGACGGCUUUUGAAACUGCCCUGCUUGAUUUCAGGAGAGGUAAGCGGAAUUCCUAGUGUAGCGGUGAAAUGCGUAGAUAUUAGGAGGAACACCAGUGGCGAAGGCGGCUUACUGGACUGACAAUGACGCUGAGGCUCGAAAGCGUGGGGAGCAAACAG